AGAGUUUGAUCAUGGCUCAGAAUCAACGCUGGCGGCGCGCCUAACACAUGCAAGUCGAACGAGAAAGCAGGAGCAAUCUUGUGAGUAAAGUGGCGUACGGGUGAGUAACACGUGGAUCAUCUACCUCUUUGUGGGGGAUAACUCUGGGAAACCGGAGCUAAUACCGCAUAAGUCCGAGAGGAGAAAGCAGCAAUGCGCAGAGAGAGGAGUCCGCGGCCGAUUAGUUAGUUGGCAGGGUAAAAGCCUACCAAGACAAAGAUCGGUAGCCGGCCUGAGAGGGCACACGGCCACACUGGCACUGAAACACGGGCCAGACUCCUACGGGAGGCAGCAGUGGGGAAUCUUGCACAAUGGGGGCAACCCUGAUGCAGCGACGCCGCGUGAGCGAUGAAGCCCUUCGGGGUGUAAAGCUCUUUCGGCAGGGAAGAUUAUGACGGUACCUGCAGAAGCAGCUGCGGCUAACUACGUGCCAGCAGCCGCGGUAAUACGUAGGCAGCGAGCGUUGUUCGGAGUUACUGGGCGUAAAGGGUGUGUAGGCGGUUUUCUAAGUCUGGUGUGAAAUCUCCCGGCUCAACUGGGAGGGUGCGCCGAAAACUGGAAGGCUAGAGUGCGGGAUGGGUAAGUGGAAUUCCUGGUGUAGCGGUGAAAUGCGUAGAUAUCAGGAGGAACACCUGUGGUGUAGACGGCUUACUGGACCGCAACUGACGCUGAAACACGAAAGCGUGGGUAGCAAACAGGAUUAGAUACCCUAGUAGUCC
rnacentral:rRNA from 1 species